ensembl:snRNA U6 U6 spliceosomal RNA
GUGCUGGCUUCAGCAGCACAUAUAUAAAAACUGGAAUGAUAUAGAGAAGAUUAGCAUGGCCCCUGUGCAAAGAUGUACUGUUACAUAUUUAUUAUUUUAUGACAUAU